GACGAACGCUGGCGGCGUGCCUAACACAUGCAAGUCGAGCGGAGAUGUACUGAAGAUUUAUCGGAUGUACAUCUUAGCGGCGGACGGGUGAGUAACGCGUGGGCAACCUGCCUUUCACUGGGGGAUAACACAGGGAAACCUGUGCUAAUACCGCAUGACAUCACGUAGGGCAUCCUAUGUGAUCAAAGGAGAGAUCCGGUGGAAGAUGGGCCCGCGUCCAAUUAGCUGGUUGGUGAGGUAAAGGCUCACCAAGGCGACGAUUGGUAGCCGAACUGAGAGGUUGAUCGGCCACAUUGGGACUGAGACACGGCCCAGACUCCUACGGGAGGCAGCAGUGGGGAAUAUUGCGCAAUGGGGGGAACCCUGACGCAGCAACGCCGCGUGAAGGAAGAAGGUCUUCGGAUUGUAAACUUCUUUGAUGAGGGACGAAUAAAGUGACGGUACCUCAAAACAAGCCACGGCUAACUACGUGCCAGCAGCCGCGGUAAAAGUC
rnacentral:rRNA from 1 species